CGUAUUUGAGAAAUUACAACUUGCCAGCCAUUCUUCUAAGAGCUUCACAUAUAUUUAAUCUUCACACCAGCCCUAAGAGGACAUACACAGAAAGCAUCCUGACUGUCCUACUUCUUGCCUGGAGGCCUCUUGGACCAGACCUGAAGCCGUCCACCGCCAGCUUGCUGUCAAUGGCUCAGACAUCCCCAAACCCAGGGCUAGGCAUGGAACCUCAAGCCAGGCACCAAGUGACUCCACUGAACAAGACUCCACAGACUGCGACAGGCUAGAGAAGAGGGGGCCCAGGAGUAGUGAGACGAACUGUCUGAAAUUCAAGUGAGCAGCCACCAGGGAAAAAGCAAAAGCUACUACAGGCUCUCCUCAGCUCUAAUAAAAUUUGACUUCUGACUUC
rnacentral:lncRNA from 10 species